rnacentral:lncRNA from 1 species
GUGAGCCAGGACGGACGUCAAGGGGAGCGACGGGAGUACGGACGGGAGUGUUAUACUGAGGGAAAAAGUUAGGAUUGCGAUUGUUGUUGUUGUUUUUUGCGAGUUAGCCAUGGCUUCAGCAAGUCCGAGCUCAGUGCACUUGUCAGCUGAAGUAGCACACUUAGUCGGGACUCAUAGGCAGAGAUAUAUACAAAAGUUAGCGAUAGCUAGCUUGCCAACAGACCCUUACCUUCUCGCUCCUGCUCUGUUUACUGAAAUGAUCAAAUCGCCGACUUUGCCAGAAUUCACCCCUCACGAUUUAUACCAUUAUGUUGUAAACGGUGUAUCUCCUUAUACUGGAGCUGAUUUAAAAGCUUACAAAAGUCUGGACGCUUACCAGUUUUUUGUUGCUGGCUGGGUCACCGCGACGAGAUGCUACUGUCACACUGGAGGGACAAUGUAUCUAAUAAUGGCAAAGGUUCAUCACAGUCAGUCUCUGUCUGAAGCUCCUCUUAAGCCCUGGGUGUCUGUAAAAAAGGAUGGAACAGUAAUGUGUGGCCACUGCACAUGCAAAGCAGGUCUGGGAGAAGUGUGCUCUCAUGUCACAGCGCUCCUCUACGCACUUGACGCUGGGGUGAAACGUUUAGAGGAUAAAAGUUGCACAGAUGGGCCUAGGCAGUGGGGCCUUCCUCCUGUCAAAACAGGAAAAGCUCUUUAUGAAGAAGCGACUGCAAUCAACUUCUCAAAUCCAGCCAAGAAACAUGACACAAACACCAAAUCCCAUACAAGACAACCUGAAAAGAGAAGAGCGAAAAGAGGUGUGUCCACAGCUGCCAUAGAGAAGUUCUACAAAGAUCUGGACAAUGCAGCCCCAACAGCAUCAGAGAAGAGUGGCCUCCUGAGGGUAUUGCCAGAGUACUGUAAUCAGUUUGUGCCAAAGGUGAUUUCUCUCAAACUGCCACAGCCUCUGACUGAGUUCUACAAGUCUCAUAACCGCGGGUUGUCUGCCUCUGACCUUAUGAUGAAAUGUGACGAGGAAUUCAUGAACAUGGAAGUCACACAAGAGCAGAUGGGGAUGUGAACAUGAAAAAAUAGCGAGGCAGACAUAUGAAGCCAUCGCUGGACCACAGCAUCAGGACCUGAGAGUUUGUGACUCAGAUCAGAGAAAACAUUGACAUUUUCUUUUUUUAAAUUUCUUUCAAAAACUGGUUCUUUCCCAUCGAUUUGUAGUGAUACCUGCCCUCCAUCUGAAAUAGAAAUACAUAAUGUGAACGCAACCUAUUUUAAAAAUGUUAUACGUAGUUCAGGUUUUAAAAUAAAUGUGUUUACCGUGUAGAUUUUAAGAAAAGAUGUACUAAUAGCUGAAAUUGUAAGAUAUGAAUUAAUAAAUGAUCGCGUCUAUAUUGGGAAUAUACUGUCGAAAUAAUAGCAGUCCUUGCACGAUGUUAUUCUGUUUUACAACACACGUUUAAUUUUU